rnacentral:lncRNA from 1 species
CAAUAGCAGUAUAGAACCCAAAAUGAUGUUUUUUUAGCACUAAACGAAGAUACUUUACUGGUGCUGAGAAUCCACCACUUCAAGAAAAUCAUACUUCCACAACCCAUAUGCUUGAAACAGGGAAACAAAGGAACCAAAACCGAUCUGAUCAGGUUCUAUGUUUUCCAACCAUACAACUAGUUUAGAGAGCCCUGUGACAUCAUCAGCUUCAGGGCCCCAAUAACACAGCCUGUUGAUACAUAGAUGGGAAUCACUAUCCUGUACAAAUGCAGCACAUAUUCUUCCUGCAUCAAACCUCCAGUGUUCAAUUUAUUCACCAGAAUCUUCUAUUCAACAUAAUGAUAGGUUGAGAAAGUUGCUGCCAUUAAAGAGAUAUGGAGCACAGAGUUAUCUAUUGAAACUUUAAGCAUCUGGAGUCAACAUAAAACAUUAUGUUGUUAAGGAAAGGCCUCUGUUUCCCAGACUCAUACUUGAGCCUAACCAAUACUAUCCCAUGCCAAAUAUGUUUUAGUUGAGCAGAAAUAAGGAAGUCAAUAGUAAAAGAACCACGGAAAUUAAUAGAACUUGUAAAGCUAAUGAACUCAACACGGGUACAUUCCGAAAAAUAAUGGCCCAGCUCCAAACAUCCUAGCAUGUGAUGAAGACACAAAUACUGAUCUAGGAGGAUAAACCACAAUUGUACCUCAAUUAAAGGGAAGAGAUAAAAAGUAUCCUAUAUUAGCAUCAUCCUCAUUCAAACAUAGUUCCCCUAGAGUCUGCCAUUAAAAUAACAGUCAACUCAGGAUGCGUAGGAUUGUGUAGUCCUAAGUCAAAGUCCACUUUUGUAGCUUUAUAAGCCAUAUAAUCAGUAGCUACAUUACGCUCCCUUAGACAUGAAUUAUCCGGAUUAUUGGAAUGAUAUGCUUCCACAAAUGCAGGUCCGAUAUCAAAGGGUGGAGAGAGUUUGAAUGCGCCGAAGAUUUUGAUAGCCACUAGAUGAUAGUUUGAGAGUCCCAUUCCACCCAUAGUUCCAAGACUUGCAACUCACAGACAGCCACCUUGACCCCCAUCCAUGGUGCCACCAUUUCAACAAAAGGAAUAGAAGAGGGUUGCAACUUCUUGCCCCCAACUCUCACCAAUAUCCCUUGAUGGUCUCUAAUGAUGAAGGCAGCAACCACCUCCUCAUAUGUCACUGAAGCAUCAAAGUUAAGCUUAAGAACUUCCAUAGGAGGGGGGAGCCACCAUGCCAACUUAGAUUAUUUAGGUAUCAGUUGACCUGUCCUCAAAGCUCCCCAGUUCCACAAGCAGUGCUUAACCUGCAUAUAAUUAUUAGAGCAAAAAAUACUUUGCAGCAUAUAAAUUUCUUCCCUAAUGAGCUGGAAGGAUGGAGUAUAUUUAUGCUGGAAAAGUCUUUCAUUACGAGCCUUCUAAAUUGUCCAAGCUAUACAAAUUCCAAGAUAUCUCAGAUUUUCCUCUACCUGGGACCUGAGAAUCCAAUUUUCUAGGUCCAACAAAGAAUUGGUUUGAUAAGAGACUCCCGACGUGAUGGCAAAGUUCAUCCAACAAUCUUUUGCAAAAGGGCACCUGAUUAAAAUAUGGUAACAAUCCUCCACAGUUGUAUCACAAAGAUCAUAAUAUUGUUGGUGAAUAGAUAUAAUGUUUCUCUGAUAUAGUACCUCCUUACAGGGGAUCCUUCUCCAUACAAACCUCCACCAAAAGGAUUUUUCCCUCAUUGGCACCUCCAAUUUUCAGAUAUAAUUAAACAAAGAGCUACCCACUGAUGUCUCAGAUUCAUGCGUCAUUAAUCGCAUGCCCUUUAGCUUCACAUUAGUUGCCCAACUCAUCCCCCAACAAAGUUGAUCAUUCCAAUUAUCCAUUGCGAAAGGAAUGGCAUUUAUCAAGUAUGUGAUAUCAGUAGAGAACAGAGAAGCCACCAAAUUCCCAUUUUAUUAUCUGUUUGCACUAAUAAGAUCCUUGACUUUCAAAUGCUGGCAGUCCAUGUCUCUAUUAACAAAGGUUGGUCUCAAACACAAAGAAAUAGAAGUUAACCAAGGGUCUUAUAACACACUAAUGUUCUCCCCUGUACCAAUAGACCAAGUGAUCUUGAAUUGAACCUUCAACCCCUGAGCCAUUAUUUUAGGCCAUAUAGNNNNNNNNNNNNNNNNNNNNUCAAACUACGAACAGGUUUUUUAUAAUUAUGCCAAGUUCCCUUGAACCUAUAUUUAGCAGCCACUAUUAAUGCCCGUAAAGAUUUUGGCCUCAAGAUUAACUGGGCAACAAACUUAGAGAUCUUUCUACUGCAAAAGUGAAGUUAACCCCAAUCCCCCACUACGUUUAGGAAAGCAGACAUUUUGCCAAGAGAUUAGAUGAAAUUCUCUCACUACUACAAAAUAGGGCUACAACAGCCGUUCGCAACUACUGCCUUAGUCCAAAAAAACUACCGUCAUAGCCUAUGACAGCGGUUAGACAACCGCUGCCACUAUGGCCAUUGCCGUAAGUCUAUGGUAGCGGUUAUUACAGUGGUUGGAUCAACCGCUGCCAUAGACAAGGUAUGGCAACGAUUCUACAACCACUGCUAUAGAAAAGUUAUUGCAGCGAUUGUCUGACCGCUGCCAUAUCAAAGCUAUCGCAGCGGUUGUCCAACCGCUGCCGUAUUGGCUAUAGCAAUGGUUGUCCAACCGUGGCCAUAUGGCAGGGACUAGAGAGAGAUCGAUCGGUGGGCCAGCUGUCGGCAGGAACCGACGGUGGCGACGGGGCUUGCCAGUGCGACCGCGACGGAGGCAGUACUGGCGGUUGGCGAGGCGGGGGACAGUUGGCAAGAUGGGGGGUGGGGGCGACGAGGCGGGGGCAUCGCGGCUGUGGCGGCACCAAUGAGCAGCAAGGUCAGGGGCGACCGCGAUGUGACCACAAGGUUUGGGUAGAAAGAGAGAUCGUGAAAUACUUAAGCCCAAGCUGUUGCUGAUUGAUUACUUAAAUCAUUAUGUACAGAUCAUUCAUUUCUUCCACAACCGAUGUGGAACUAUCACAAUCAACCAUAGGUUGGACCUAUCAUAGCGAUUAUAAAUAACCGCUGCCACAGGUCAACCUAUGGCAGUGGUUAUCGGUAACCGCUGUCAUAGGUUAUAUAUGGCAAUGGUUGGUGAUAACCGUCGCCAUAUAUAGAGAUAUGAUAGUGAUUAUACCUAAUCGUUGUCAUAAGUUCGAGAUUUGUCUGUGGUUAGUACACUGCUGUCAUAGACUAUAGCAACGACUAUUAUGCAACCGCUGCUAUAGAGGCAAAAUAUUAAUUUUUUUUUAUUUUUUUAAAUAUAAUAUAAUUUUAAAAUUUAAAGUUCAUCUUCACUGUUCAUUAUCUAAAUAAUUAUCAUUAGAGUACCGUCAUAAAAGACCGCCUUGAUCUGGUACUCCUAUGUAUGUCGAUCGUUAAAAUUUAAUUUCGACGGUCACGAACAAUCGUAUGAUGAUCUGAUAAAUAGAGAUCACCGACGGAUUAAAAAACUUUCAAUGAUGAUCUCGGUGAUAGUUAUAUUAUACCAUCAAAUUUUUGCUUCAAUAGGACAUCAUCAUCAAGGUCAAUUUAGCACAAGAUAAUUUGAGCUGUUAAAUGAAAAAUAAGUGAUCAAAAGGCCAAACAACAUCUGAUUAUAAGAUAAUUUUUUACAUAAAUGAUCUUUGCUACUACUUUAAUCAUUUGUACAGUGAUGAUCAUAAUAUUCAAACCGUUCCUAUAUGAACGAUCCAAAACUAUAUGUCUCUUGAUUCUCAUUCUUAAAGUUCUUAAAUAAUUAUACUUGUGCUUUUAUAAGAUCUGCUUAACAUGGAUGGUUCAUAUACGUAUGGUUCAGAUUUUACGAUCGCCAUCAUAUAAAUGAUUAAAAUAGUAGCAAAGAUCAUUAUCUAAAAAAUCAUCUUACUCGGACGUAGUUUGAUUUUUUGAUCAUUUAUUUUUUGUUUAACUGUCGAAAUCAUCCCGUACUAAAUUGACUAUGAUAAUGAUGUCUAAUUGAAGUAAAAUUUUGAUAGCAUAAUACAAAUAUCAUUGAAAUCGUCAUUGUAAGUUUUUGGAUCUAUCGAUGGACUCUAUCUAUCAGAUCAUCACAUGACUGGCGAAAUUAAAUUUUAAUGAUCGACAAAGCUAGGGCUGUCGAAUCGAGAUGAUCUUUUGUAACGAUACUCUAACGAUAAUUAUUUAGAUAAUAAAUAAUAAAAAUAAAUUUUAAAUUUUAAAAUUAUAUCAUAUUCAGAGAAAAAUAGAAGAAUAAUUUACAUUCGGUCUCUAUAGCAAUGGUUGAAGAAUAUCUGCUGCUAUAGAAUCUAUAGCAGUGGUUGUGCAUAGCCUAUGGCAGCGGUUAUCUAUAACUGCUGCUAUAGGUCUAAUAUAUGACAGUGGUUAGUGAUAAUUGCUAUUAUAGGUACUACAAUAAUGAUUUUGGAACCACCACUAUAGUGAAAGCUGCUAUAGCUCCUUAUUGUAGUAGUGUUCACUCUGAUAAGUGUCCCCACAAAAAUGUUUUGAAUCUUUUUUCCAUUCUCUACAAUAAAAUUCCUGGCACAUGUAUUGAUGAUAUGCAAUAGAUUGGUUAGAAGACAAAAUCAAUUAUAGAAGAGUAAAUUUACGAGCAAAUGCCAAAGCUCUCCACUUCCAGCUGUCCAUCUUGGAGACAGCAGCUCUAACUAGAUAAGUAAAAUCUAACACCACCAAGAGAUCUCCUGGUAAUGGGACUCUCAAAUAUUUCCAAUUACCUCUCUUUUCAGGUAUUUACAAGGCCAUGCAAAUACUGCACUUAAUUUGGCUUGGUGUUGAGUGGCUAAACAUGAUGUAUGAUUUGCUCAUGUUCGCCGCUUAUCCUAACAUUGAACAAUAGGCAUCCAAGAGAGGUUUGAUACAUAUGCCAUCCCUGACAGUUGCCCUAGCUCCCNNNNNNNNNNNNNNNNNNNNCUCAUUAUUAAGCUACUUAUUAUCCAUCCUAUUUCUAUGAUACCCUAAAACUAAUUUUAAUAGAGAUAUAUAAGCAUUAUGGAACUUGAUUUCUCCUGAGAUGCAGAUUGAUCCCUAGAUCUGCAUUUGCUCUACUUCUUCUCUCCACUUUUUCUGAAUUUCUUGUAGUAUGCCUACUAAGGUUGCUUGAAUAAUACAACGCCAUUUGCUCAGCUAGUUCAUUAGCAGCAACCCCCUCGUAUCUCACCAGUACAUUAGUUUGUGGGGGCGACUCAAAAUCUAGUGAGUUUGAUUUGGAUGCAACCUUCAUUAGAGAUAUUUUCCUCUUCUGUUUCAAAGCCCCGGAUGUGGAUGAUUCCCUUUUUGCUGAUAAUGAAGAGCUCAGAUCCAUUGGUUGAAUAAAUUAUUCUUCAUCCUCAUUUAUCAAUGGUGCAAAAUGAGAGCUCUCUUUCUGACAUAUACCUUACUUUGGGGAUUUGGAUUUGGUUGGCGACGAUCCUUUGGCUUGCCUCUUUUGAUGUAACCAAGUUCCAGAAGGCUGCCACAUCAGGUUGAGAUAGGGUAGGAGAUGGGACUCUUGAUGCUUUGAUUUAUGGUCCAUACAUAAGCUUGCUUCUCUAACUCUCCGGCAAACUCGAACACCCAUAGAUCUCAACCUCAUAAGCAAAAUGGCCACUAAAGUAGCAGAUUUCAGGUAAAUCCUUAUACAUAAACUCUUGCCACAUGAUUUCAUCAUUAACCAGCACUUUGGUACCGGGACAGAUAGAUUGAGACGUAUCAACGAGCACACAAUCUCUAGCGAAAUCCAUUCUUAUUGAGGAUUCUAUCUAUUCAUCCAAAAACUAUGGUUUCUCAGCAGUUGCAACAAUUCUCAUAAUUUUUUCCUUUUUCCAAAGUUCUAAGGGGAGAUUAGGAAGUUUGAUCCAAACUCUAACUUGGUGGAUACCAUCUCUUCCUAGCCUAAAAUUUGGCCUCCAACUCUCCAGAACUAAGAGUUGGCCAGCUAAGGAUCACAGUCCUUUUUGCAGGAUUUUUUUCUUCUCUACCUUUGUGGGCACCCUAAAUAGUAGAAUACCAUUAGACAGAGAGGAGAUUUGGAGCUCAUCGAUCCGAUUCCACCUAAUUUUAAGCUCUUUUUUGAUAAAUUCAAAAAAAAAAUUCCUACUCAAGAACUUACCUAGAAGCGCCAUCUUCAAUCAAGUACACACAGAGUUGAUGUCUUCCUUUGAGAAGG